CACGUAGGGUGCGAGCGUUGUCCGGAAUUAUUGGGCGUAAAGGGCUCGUAGGCGGUUUGUCGCGUCGGGAGUGAAAACAGCGGGCUUAACUCGUUGCUUGCUUCCGAUACGGGCAGACUAGAGGUAUGCAGGGGAGAAUGGAAUUCCUGGUGUAGCGGUGAAAUGCGCAGAUAUCAGGAGGAACACCGGUGGCGAAGGCGGUUCUCUGGGCAUUACCUGACGCUGAGGAGCGAAAGUGUGGGGAGCGAACAGG
rnacentral:rRNA from 1 species